ncrna:Serratia liquefaciens ATCC 27592 KDPG-aldolase RNA
GGUACGGCCGGACGCCUGCGCUUUAAUGCGUGGGGCCCUGUGGCAGGGGCGUGCCAUUGAUAACCCGUAAGUAAUGGAGA